AACGAACGCUGGCGGCGCGCCUAAUACAUGCAAGUCGAGCGAGAAGACGUAGCAAUACGUUUGUAAAGCGGCGAACGGGUGAGGAAUGCAUGGGUAACCUACCCUCGAGUGGGGAAUAACUAGCCGAAAGGUUAGCUAAUACCGCGUACGCUCCUUGGACUUCGGUUCAGGGAGGAAAGCGAUACCGUGGGUAUCGCGCUCUUGGAUGGGCUCAUGUCCUAUCAGCUUGUUGGUGAGGUAACGGCUCACCAAGGCUUCGACGGGUAGCUGGUCUGAGAGGACGAUCAGCCACACUGGCACUGCGACACGGGCCAGACUCCUACGGGAGGCAGCAGUAAGGAAUAUUGCGCAAUGGGCGAAAGCCUGACGCAGCGACGCCGCGUGGGGGAUGAAGGUCUUCGGAUUGUAAACCCCUUUCGGGAGGGAAGAUGGAACGAGCAAUCGUUCGGACGGUACCUCCAGAAGCAGCCACGGCUAACUUCGUGCC
rnacentral:rRNA from 1 species